GACAGAGGUCCCGAGCGUUAGGCGGAAUCACUGGGCUUAAAGCGUGUGUAGGCGGAUUUGUAAGUACCUUGUGAAAUCCCACGGCUCAACCGUGGAACUGCUUGGUAUACUGCUUAUCUUGAGCCACCUAGGGGCAACCGGAACAAGCGGUGGAGCGGUGAAAUGCGUAGAUAUCGAGAGGAACACCUGCGGCGAAGGCGGGUUGCUGGGCUGACACUGACGCUGAUGUGCGAAAGCUAGGGGAGCGAACGGG
rnacentral:rRNA from 1 species